rnacentral:lncRNA from 1 species
CCAUCACGACCGAAUUUAGGUCAUGACAUAUAUAUACAAUGAAUACAUUUAUGGGCUACAAAAAUCUUAUCAGAAUCAAAUCCUUUUUUUUAUGAAUGAAUUUAUUUGCAGAUAUUAACUAAUGAAAGACUCAGUAGAAUAGAGGUGCAAGAAGCUCACGGUACAAAAGAACUACUACACGGAAUCAUCUACUAACAGUAAAAAAAGAGUGCAGCUGAAUUAUAAUUUUUAAUUAAAAAAGCUUUAAUGAUUACAACAGUCCAAACUGAAUCAAACAAACCACAGCUCCCAACUUCAACUGAGCAACAACAAUAACACAGGAAUCAUCCAGCUUGACUAAACACUGCCGAGAUUUGAGCUCCAGAAAAACAAGCUCAUCCACAACUUGAAAUUUUAAAUCAAAUUCUCUUGAUAUAAAGAACAUUUUUUUAUAUGCUUUCCGAAAUGAAAGAUGCAGACGGAAAUGAAAAAUCUCGAAGAGAAAUGAUGAUUUGCUAAGCUAUUGAAGAUUUGUUAUCGAUUUUUUUCCCUAAUUUUCUACUUGAUUGCUCUCCGAUUUUUUCUAUAUCAUUCUCUCUGUUUGCCUUCUCCUCCUUUAACAAAGAGACUUGCCUCAUAUAUAUAUAGUGUUCAAGAAAAUCUCAAAAUAUCUGCCUAAAAUCCGAAAAUCUUAAAGUUUUU